rnacentral:rRNA from 1 species
CUACGGGGGGCUCCAGUGAGGAAUAUUGCACAAUGGGGGGAACCCUGAUGCAGCAACGCCGCGUGGAGGAUGACGCAUUUCGGUGUGUAAACUCCUUUUAUAUGUCAAGAAAAUGAUGGUAGCAUAUGAAUAAGCACCGACUAACUCCGUGCCAGCAGCCGCGGUAAUACGGAGGGUGCAAGCGUUACUCGGAAUCACUGGGCGUAAAGGACGCGUAGGCGGGUUGGAAAGUCAGGUGUGAAAUCCUACAGCUUAACUGUAGAACUGCACUUGAAACUUCUAAUCUAGAGUAUGGGAGGGGGAGAUGGAAUUAGUGGUGUAGGGGUAAAAUCCGUAGAUAUCACUAGGAAUACCUAAAGCGAAGGCGAUCUCCUGGAACAUUACUGACGCUAAGGCGUGAAAGCGUGGGGAGCAAACAGGAUUAGAUACCCCGGUAGUC